AGGGAGCCAGCCUGGUCCCUGGGGGAGUCUGCACCUAUGUAUCUGUUCUCGUCAUGUAAACUAGGAGACCCCUGUCUACUGUCGGGACUGGACAAGCCCUGGAACAAGAGUGUUUCCUUUAGCUUCCAGAUUCAGUGUCCACAUCAUUGACUCCAGGAAAAUCUGUUCAUCUGACUCUACACGUGCAGGCAGCGAACAGACGUCCAAAUCCCAAUGUUUCUUUGUUGAGCACGGGCUCACGCUGUAGCGGAACCCUCGGAGUAUGGGGUGGUGCCACGGGGAAGCCAUCUUACAGGAAGAGAAAGACAAGAUGGGUGGAGGAAGCCGCUAGGAAAGCUCUUCUCUACGGCUCAGUGUUCUGUAGAAGAUGGAAGUAAAAUGGGUGCGUGUGGACUCUGCCGUUAGCCUGCCUGGGACUUUGUGACCGUCAGUCACUGUGGCGACUGUGACAGCCUCUGAGGCCAGUUAGGCCACAAGAACAUAGCGGUCUCCCCAGCUCCCGCGCACCUUCAGAUGCACUCAUUCACGCAGCAAAGUGGACGUGCCUGCCCAGACAGCCGGAGUGAAGAUAGUUACUGGGCCCGAGGGAGAACAGCCCCACCAUCUCUGGGACAUUGUCGCAGGCCUGUGGGAAUCCUCGGGCAACCACAUUUCUACUUUCUGGCUCUAAGAAUGUGACCACUCCUGGUGCCUCAGUCCAAGGUGAAAGUUCCAGAGGCGGGCUGCUCUGACCCACUGCUGUUUAAGGACACAGGUUCCUUGGCAAGUCUUUGCUCUGUCCUCCGCCGUCGCUGACUCCCCGGAAUACUUGUCAUCUGCACGGUUGAAGGUGGUUAUGCACACAUCCAAGUUCAAGGUGUAAGAAGGGAAGCAGGUAUGGAGGAGGUGAGCCCGCUCGCUCCGCAGAGGCCUGGGCCCAGCCAUGGUCCGGCGGCCCGGACAACGACACCUAACUGCAAGGCGGGCUGGGAAGGGCAGCCUGGACGUGUGUGGACACGUGGAACGUGGAUUUGGGGAGACCGCUGACUCCCCACUAUCCUAUGUAGUUUGCCUUCUAAACAUCAAGGCCCCACACGCACCAAGAAACUGUAUUGUGGCUCUUCCCCUUCUGCCUUCCUCUCUACCUUCGCAAAGCAUUCCAAGAAAGAAAGGGAAUUCGUUUUUCAACCUUUUUGUUACCGCUGAGAAAAUGACAAGGCCCCAGACACCUAUGCCUAGAGCUGAAAACGGAUCGCAUUUCUGUAGGGAAUGACCCCUUUCCGUGAAUGCUAAUGCUCCGGAAUGGGAGCUAUGUGGUGUUUUUCUGGAGCAGGGGUGUGUGGAACCGCUCUCAUCGUAUCUUCGACGGCCGGAAACAGAGAUUCAGGCGGAAUGUUCUUCGGGGCCAGUGAGCCGUGUGCAGACCUCCGAGCUCCUCAUUACUUUUCUUCCCUUCAUUCCACUAGAGCAGCUCCAAGUCGUGACAACCCGUGGGGAUAAUUGACGUGAAAGUGCUCAACGCCGAGUGCCCAAGCUUCCCCCAAACAAUCGCUGGAUUGUUCCGGGACCUGUCGAUGCCACAAACCUCAUGCUGAGGAGUUGGCCCCGUAAUUAGCAAGCAGCGGCUGUCAAGCCCAUGAAAUGGUUUUAGGUGACGAAGUGAACGAGACAAAGCAGUUUCUUCUUCUUCUCUGGCAGGGAAGACAGCCGGUGUCCGAGUGGGGCUGAUGCUUCUGUAAAGGAAACUAAGUGAGUCUGGCUUCCAUUUCACACUCGUGCUUUCCAGACCGAUCCCGACUCUGUGAGGCUCAUCUCCUGAGCCUGGUUUCCCCCGCUUCUCGGCUGAUGGGGCGGCAAAAUCCCGCUGCAGCUCAGGGAGGGCAGUAGAGGCUGCGGGCCCGUAAGCCCCACCUGCCGCCCGCUUGAAUAACCCUUAAAAACCUCUGGGGAUUCUCAAAACGGAGAGCGUUUUGCACUCUCUCAGCACUGAAAGGAAGCUCCAUAUGUGAGAGCUCUAACCUGGACGUCGACUUUUUAUAUGGGGGGGACGCUGGACAUGAGGUAGGGAGAAAGAAAAGCUGGGGCUGGAAAAGCACCAUUCACAGGGUACCUGUGAUUCAAACAAACGUGAAAUGUAUCUUAUCCUUUACCUGCCUCGAAUGAAAACAUACUCUCGUAAACAGACAUUGUGGCGUGAGGGGAAGAACAGCAGAUGAGGGGGAGCCGGUGGAAGUGGUCCAAUUUCUGUGGGCCUUGGGUGCCUCACCUGUGACUGGGAAUACUCAGUAGACAAUUCGAAUCGCAUCCGGCUCCAAAUAGAUGUGAAGAGACGUGACUACAUCACCAAGCAUCGUAAUAAUCAGUUAUG